CAAGUACUCCCUCCGUACGGAAUUACUUGUCAUCAAAAUGGAUGUGUCUAGAACUAAAAUACAUCUAGAUACAUCCAUUUCAAUGACAAGUAUUUCCAGACGGAAGGAGUACAAG
rnacentral:pre_miRNA from 1 species